AAAUUCGGUUUAUAACAUUGAAAAUGUAAAAUGACGUUCUCUAUGAAAUACAAAUAUAUUUUUUUCAGAAUGACAAUCUUUGUAAAACAGAGAGUAUUUUUUUUUUUUUUUGAUUACUCAGGGUAAAUCCCGGGACCUAUGUAAAACAUGGAGUAUUGUAACUCGAUCAAACAACUUUUCUUAAUUAGACCACAUGGCAUGCAAUCAUACAAAACUUUUGUAAGACUUUAAAUUUGUGUGUUCUUUGUUUAAUAGAGUCAACCAUGCUUAAUGUUAUGUAUUUUACUAGGGCACUACAUAACCUUAAUGUGUAAUAACAGAAACAUGGCAGUGGCACAUGCAACACAU
rnacentral:lncRNA from 1 species